GACGAACGCUGGCGGCGUGCUUAACACAUGCAAGUCGAACGGAAAGGCCCUGCUUGCAGGGUACUCGAGUGGCGAACGGGUGAGUAACACGUGGGUGAUCUGCCCUGCACUUCGGGAUAAGCCUGGGAAACUGGGUCUAAUACCGGAUAGGAGCCAUUUUUAGUGUGAUGGUUGGAAAGUUUUUUUCGGUGUAGGAUGAGCUCGCGGCCUAUCAGCUUGUUGGUGGGGUAAUGGCCUACCAAGGCGGCGACGGGUAGCCGGCCUGAGAGGGUGGACGGCCACAGUGGGACUGAGAUACGGCCCAGACGCCUACGGGAGGCAGCAGUGGGGAAUAUUGCACAAUGGGCGCAAGCCUGAUGCAGCGACGCCGCGUGGGGGAUGACGGCCUUCGGGUUGUAAACUCCUUUCGCUAGGGACGAAGCUUUUUGUGACGGUACCUAGAUAAGAAGCACCGGCUAACUACGUG
rnacentral:rRNA from 1 species